rnacentral:rRNA from 1 species
GACGAACGCUGGCGGCGUGCUUAACACAUGCAAGUCGAACGGAAAGGCCCUGCUUUUGUGGGGUGCUCGAGUGGCGAACGGGUGAGUAACACGUGAGUAACCUGCCCUUGACUUUGGGAUAACUUCAGGAAACUGGGGCUAAUACCGGAUAGGAGCUCCUGCUGCAUGGUGGGGGUUGGAAAGUUUCGGCGGUUGGGGAUGGACUCGCGGCUUAUCAGCUUGUUGGUUGGGGAGUGGCUUACCAAGGCUUUGACGGGUAGCCGGCCUGUGAGGGUGGCCGGCCACAUUGGGACUGAGAUACGGCCCAGACUCCUACGGGAGGCAGCAGUGGGGAAUAUUGCACAAUGGGCGGAAGCCUGAUGAAGCAACGCCGCGUGCGGGAUGACGGCCUUCGGGUUGUAAACCGCUUUAGCCUGUGACGAAGCGUGAGUGACGGUAAUGGGUAAAGAAGCACCGGCUAACUACGUG